GUGCUUGCUUUGACAGCACAUAUACUAAAAAAUUGGAAUGAUACAGAGAAGAUUAGCAUGGCCACUGUGCAAGAAUGACAUGCAAAUUCACGAAGCAUUCCAUUAAAAA
ensembl:snRNA U6 U6 spliceosomal RNA